rnacentral:rRNA from 2 species
UAGGUUAACGAGGCGAACCGGGGGAACUGAAACAUCUAAGUACCCCGAGGAAAAGAAAUCAACCGAGAUUCCCCCAGUAGCGGCGAGCGAACGGGGAGCAGCCCAGAGUCUGAAUCAGCUUGUGUGUUAGUGGAACGGUCUGGAAAGUCCGACGGUACAGGGUGAUAGUCCCGUACACCAAAAUGCACAGGCUGUGAACUCGAAGAGUAGGGCGGGACACGUGGUAUCCUGUCUGAAUAUGGGGGGACCAUCCUCCAAGGCUAAAUACUCCUGACUGACCGAUAGUGAACCAGUACCGUGAGGGAAAGGCGAAAAGAACCCCGGCGAGGGGAGUGAAAAAGAACCUGAAACCGUGUACGUACAAGCAGUGGGAGCACCUUCGGGUGUGACUGCGUACCUUUUGUAUAAUGGGUCAGCGACUUAUAUUCUGUAGCAAGGUUAACCGUAUAGGGGAGCCGCAGGGAAACCGAGUCUUAACUGGGCGUUAAGUUGCAGGGUAUAGACCCGAAACCCGGUGAUCUAGCCAUGGGCAGGUUGAAGGUUGGGUAACACUAACUGGAGGACCGAACCGACUAAUGUUGAAAAAUUAGCGGAUGACUUGUGGCUGGGGGUGAAAGGCCAAUCAAACCGGGAGAUAGCUGGUUCUCCCCGAAAGCUAUUUAGGUAGCGCCUCGUGAACUCAUCUUCGGGGGUAGAGCACUGUUUCGGCUAGGGGGUCAUCCCGACUUACCAACCCGAUGCAAACUACGAAUACCGAAGAAUGUUAUCACGGGAGACACACGGCGGGUGCUAACGUCCGUCGUGAAGAGGGAAACAACCCAGACCGCCAGCUAAGGUCCCAAAGUCAUGGUUAAGUGGGAAACGAUGUGGGAAGGCACAGACAGCCAGGAUGUUGGCUUAGAAGCAGCCAUCAUUUAAAGAAAGCGUAAUAGCUCACUGGUCGAGUCGGCCUGCGCGGAAGAUGUAACGGGGCUAAACCAUGCACCGAAGCUGCGGCAGCGACACUAUGUGUUGUUGGGUAGGGGAGCGUUCUGUAAGCCUGCGAAGGUGUGCUGUGAGGCAUGCUGGAGGUAUCAGAAGUGCGAAUGCUGACAUAAGUAACGAUAAAGCGGGUGAAAAGCCCGCUCGCCGGAAGACCAAGGGUUCCUGUCCAACGUUAAUCGGGGCAGGGUGAGUCGACCCCUAAGGCGAGGCCGAAAGGCGUAGUCGAUGGGAAACAGGUUAAUAUUCCUGUACUUGGUGUUACUGCGAAGGGGGGACGGAGAAGGCUAUGUUAGCCGGGCGACGGUUGUCCCGGUUUAAGCAUGUAGGCUGAUUGUCCAGGCAAAUCCGGAUAAUCAAGGCUGAGGUGUGAUGACGAGGCACUACGGUGCUGAAGUAACAAAUGCCCUGCUUCCAGGAAAAGCCUCUAAGCAUCAGGUAACAUCAAAUCGUACCCCAAACCGACACAGGUGGUCAGGUAGAGAAUACCAAGGCGCUUGAGAGAACUCGGGUGAAGGAACUAGGCAAAAUGGUGCCGUAACUUCGGGAGAAGGCACGCUGGUGUGUAGGUGAAGUCCCUGCGGAUGGAGCUGAGACCAGUCGAAGAUACCAGCUGGCUGCAACUGUUUAUUAAAAACACAGCACUGUGCAAACACGAAAGUGGACGUAUACGGUGUGACGCCUGCCCGGUGCCGGAAGGUUAAUUGAUGGGGUUAUCCGUAAGGAGAAGCUCUUGAUCGAAGCCCCGGUAAACGGCGGCCGUAACUAUAACGGUCCUAAGGUAGCGAAAUUCCUUGUCGGGUAAGUUCCGACCUGCACGAAUGGCGUAAUGAUGGCCAGGCUGUCUCCACCCGAGACUCAGUGAAAUUGAACUCGCUGUGAAGAUGCAGUGUACCCGCGGCAAGACGGAAAGACCCCGUGAACCUUUACUAUAGCUUGACACUGAACAUUGAGCCUUGAUGUGUAGGAUAGGUGGGAGGCUUUGAAGCGUGGACGCCAGUCUGCGUGGAGCCAACCUUGAAAUACCACCCUUUAAUGUUUGAUGUUCUAACGUUGGCCCCUGACCGGGGUUGCGGACAGUGUCUGGUGGGUAGUUUGACUGGGGCGGUCUCCUCCCAAAGCGUAACGGAGGAGCACGAAGGUUAGCUAAUCCUGGUCGGACAUCAGGAGGUUAGUGCAAUGGCAUAAGCUAGCUUGACUGCGAGCGUGACGGCGCGAGCAGGUGCGAAAGCAGGUCAUAGUGAUCCGGUGGUUCUGAAUGGAAGGGCCAUCGCUCAACGGAUAAAAGGUACUCCGGGGAUAACAGGCUGAUACCGCCCAAGAGUUCAUAUCGACGGCGGUGUUUGGCACCUCGAUGUCGGCUCAUCACAUCCUGGGGCUGAAGUAGGUCCCAAGGGUAUGGCUGUUCGCCAUUUAAAGUGGUACGCGAGCUGGGUUUAGAACGUCGUGAGACAGUUCGGUCCCUAUCUGCCGUGGGCGCUGGAGAAUUGAGGGGGGCUGCUCCUAGUACGAGAGGACCGGAGUGGACGCAUCACUGGUGUUCGGGUUGUCAUGCCAAUGGCACUGCCCGGUAGCUAAAUGCGGAAGAGAUAAGUGCUGAAAGCAUCUAAGCACGAAACUUGCCCCGAGAUGAGUUCUCCCUGAGACUUUAAGUCUCCUGAAGGAACGUUAAAGACGAUGACGUUGAUAGGCCGGGUGUGUAAGCGCAGCGAUGCGUUGAGCUAACCGGUACUAAUGAACCGUGAGGCUUAACCUU